rnacentral:rRNA from 1 species
UGAACGCUAGCGGCAGGCUUAACACAUGCAAGUCGAGGGGUAACAGGGAUUGCUUGCAAUCCGCUGACGACCGGCGCACGGGUGCGUAACGCGUAUGCAACCUACCUUCUUCAGGGGGAUAGUCAAUAGAAAUGUUGAAUAAUACCCCAUACGAUCAUUAAUCUGCAUGGAUUGAUGAAGAAAGCUCCGGCGGAAGAAGAUGGGCAUGCGUCCUAUUAGUUAGUUGGUAAGGUAACGGCUUACCAAGACAUCGAUAGGUAGGGGUCCUGAGAGGGAGACCCCCCACACUGGUACUGAGACACGGACCAGACUCCUACGGGAGGCAGCAGUGAGGAAUAUUGGACAAUGGAGGAAACUCUGAUCCAGCCAUGCCGCGUGCAGGAAGACGGCCCUACGGGUUGUAAACUGCUUUUAUACAGGAAGAAUUGCAUCUACGUGUAGAUGUUUGACGGUACUGUACGAAUAAGGAUCGGCUAA